rnacentral:rRNA from 1 species
UACGGAGGGUGCAAGCGUUAAUCGGAAUUACUGGGCGUAAAGCGCGCGUAGGCGGCUUGGUCAGUCGGAUGUGAAAGCCCCGGGCUUAACCUGGGAACUGCAUUCGAAACUGCCGGGCUAGAGUUUGAUAGAGGAGAGUGGAAUUCCACAUGUAGCGGUGAAAUGCGUAGAUAUGUGGAGGAACACCAGUGGCGAAGGCGGCUCUCUGGAUCAAAACUGACGCUGAGGUGCGAAAGCGUGGGUAGCAAACAGG